AGUCAUAUCACUCAGUGUACAAAAUGGAUGCACACCCUUUCUUGUGUGAACCAUCUUCCAGCAUAAAUGAAAAAAUAAUUCUACGAGAGACAAGGACCUGACACCAAUCUUAUCUGGCGUUAGCAGUUAUUGGUAUUAAGUCAUAUCACUCAGUGUACAGCAUGUCUGCAUCCCCUAUCUUGUGUGAACCAUCUUCAUCAUAAAUAAGAGAGCUAGUUUUCCGCAGACAAGGACAUGACACUAAUCUUGAAAUCAACAUCUACAAGGAAUAUCUGGGUCAUAUCACUCAGUGUACAACGUGGCUACAUCCCCUAACUUGUGUGAACCAUCUACCAACAUAAAUGAAAGAGCCAGUCUACCAGGGUAAAGGACAUGACACCAAUCUUGAAAUCAUCUACAUGGAAUGUUGGAUCUAAAGCUUUAUUGGUAUUAAGUCAUAUCCCUCAAUGUACAUGUAGCGUAUGGAUACAUCCCAUAUCUUGUGUGAACCAUCUUCCAGCAUAAAUUAGGGAGCUACAGUAGUCUACCAGAGUCAAGGACAUUACACCAAUCUUGAAAUCAUCAUCUACAGGGAAUGGAUAGUGUGAGCAGUUAUUGAUAUUUUGUCAUAUCACUCAGUGUACAGCAUGUCUACAUCACGUAUCUUGUGUGAACCAUCUUCCAGCAUAAAUGAGAGAGCUAGUCUACCAGAGAAAAGGAUAUGACACCAAUCUUGAUAUUAUCAUCAGCAUGGAAUGUCUGUGAGCAGUUAUUGGUAUUUAGUCAUAUCACUCAGUGUACAACAUGGCUACAUCCCCUAUCUUUUGUGAACCAUCUUCCAGCAUAAAGAGAGAGAGCAAGUCUACCAGAAACAAGGACCUGACACCAAUCUUGAAAUCAUCAUCUACAUGGAAUGUCUGGCGUGACCAGUUUUGGGUAUUUAGUCAUAUCAAUGUACAGCAUGGAUGCAUCUCUCUUCUUGUGUGAAUCAUCUUCCAUCAUAAAUAAGAGAGCUAGUUUACUACAGACAAGGACAUAACACCAAUCUUUAAAUCAUCAUCUACAUGGAAUGGAUAGUGUGAGCAGUUAUUGAUAUGUAGUCAUAUCACUCAGUGUACAACAUGGCUGCAUCCCUUAUCUUGUGUGAACCAUCUUCCAGCAUUAAUGAGAGAGCUUGUGUACCAGAGACAAGAAUAUGACACCAAUCUUGAAAUCGUCAUCUAUGCGAAAUGUCUGGAUGAGUAUUGGUAUUUUGUCAUAGUUUCAAAACCAAAUGGUUAGAUCUGUACAUUCCUUUAUAUUCUUUGGAGGUUGUAUACAAAAAUACAAUUAUGCAUAUUGGGUAUGCUUGUUUUCACAUAAAUAUCAAAUCAAAUUUUACAGCCACUUUUCUAUAGGGAACUCUUAUUUAUUAAAUCAUAAACGGGCAAUAUUGCAAAAGACGGCAACAGUUUCCAAGGACACAUAGAGGGGCAUUUAGUCCAGUAAAUGGGCAUCCACAAUUUAUUUACUAUCAAACAAAUUGAAUGAACCAAAUAUCAUUUAAAAUAUAUCCAAAACAUGUUUUAUCAUUAAAUACCCGACUCUACCCUCACUUGCCAUAUGUAUUUUUCCCAUUUAAGACAUUUUUGACAUGUGAAAAAGUGGGCAGUUUCUUUCAACCUCUUAUACCAAAAUUUUGGCAACAUUUGAAUAAUUCAGAACAUGCUCCAACACACAAAAAAGUUAAUUUAUCAAAAAUCAGUGAUUCAUGUAAAUAGGACAAUAUACACGGCCAGUGAGGGUAUAUGCAUUUGCUACUCAUGAACCCAUUUUCGUGUGUUUUAUAAUAAGUUUUGUGUAGAUCCAAGGGGCAGGUCCAAGCUAUCAUCUGUAAGUUAUUUGUUCUUUUAUUAAUGGAUUCAUACAAUGUAGGGCAUAUUUACUAGAAAAAAGUACAUGUAAUUUGUGCAUGAUGUUGGAAAUGUUUUGCAAGUAUUGUGAGGCUUAGAUUUAAGAUUGUUUGGUAAUCAAGUCUUGUAUUUAUUUGUGGAGAAUUUUUGUGUUAACUAGUCUGCAAAAGUGGAUCCACAGGUUUUCCAGAGUUUUUGCCUUUUGUGUUUUAUCUCUGGUUUUUUACCCUGGAUCUACUUGUCGUAGAAUUUUUUAACACAAACAUUUCUCCCUCCCAAUAGAUCACAACUGAUCCAGGGGCAUGCCCCCUCCCCACUUUUGAGAAUCCAAAUUAGUAAUAUGUAAUGUAAAAAUGCAAUGAAAACAGACGUGUGCCCUUCUUUUGAACCUGAAGACUUUUUUUUGUUGCUUGUCAAUUUUGUUUCUGGUAAGAAAUCCUUUUGGGGGGUUGAAGACUUUUUUUUUUAUUGUCAAUUUUUUUCUGGUAAGAAAUCCUUUUUUUUUGGUUGAAGACCUUUUUUUUGCUUGUCAAAUUUUUUCGUGGAUGAAAUAUCCUCCAGAAAAUUUGCCCCCCUUUUGGAAAAUCCUAGGUACGCCAGUGAUGUGUGGUGCUAUUAAUCUCUAACCCUAAAAAGACUUUAAAAAACAAACAAACCUUGCGCAACUUUUGAGACCAAAUUUAUAACCCCCGGGUUUACAGUUAAAAAAUUAUGAAAAGUGUAAUUGCAUGUGAGACAUCAAAUUGCUAAAGAAAAAAAUUAUUUCAUGUACUGUACAAAUCUAAUGCAAAUUAUCUUCUAGCCAAAAUUCAUAACUGUGUCAUUAAUUUUACUUUUGCAUCGUUAAAAAAUAACCGAAAACAAAGAAAUACAUCCGAAAUUUCAAAAAAAUAGAAUACAUAAGAGAGUAUUUUGAUAACAAUUAUUCUUUGUUGUGUGUUUGAUCUGAAUCCAACAAAGAGUCUCCAAACAAAAAAAUCAGUACUUUAAGAGCUUUUUUAUAGAAUCAAGCCAAAAUUUUGAUUUUGUGCAUUAAUUAGCAUUAUUUUUGAAUAAGUUUCAAACAAUCAUGUAUACAAUUUUGUAGGUUAUAUCAUGGUUGACAUGUGUAUUGAUUUUCAUCUUAGUUGCACAAUCAUCUGCCGAGAUCUUUAAGAGGGGAAUUUAGCUCUCCAUCAUUCCAGCCUCAAAAAUAACCUAGUCUUAUUAUGGUUAACCUAUUUAUUUAGGCAUAUUUUUCAGUUCAAUUUUGAAUAAAUUUUGCUUAGAUACAAAUGAAAAUACCUUUUUACUCAAAAUAAUGUUUUACAGAUAUUGGAGAAAGUAAGAAAUGCUCUUUUUACACCAAAAAUCCUUUUUCUUUCCUUUCAAGGGGUUGGCAUCACUGACGAUGACUUUAUAGAUAUGGUUGUUAUGAGGUCAUAGGUCACAGAGAUCAAUUUGUACCCCAAAACUUCUUGUUCUUGUGAUAAGCAAAGAAUUGGGUCAUUGUAUACCUGAAAAUAUCACUUGCCCUGUGACAACUUUGGAUUUGAUUUAGGAAUCAAUUUUAAACUUUGCUCAUGAAUGCAUAUGUGAGUGAGGAUCUCAUUACAUAAUUUUUGGUCACAAUGGCAAAGGCCAAGAGGUUAUUAUUAAAAAUUUUAUGUGUGUUAUUGUAGGUCUGGCAAUGGUGAAUGUUUUAACUUUGACUGUAGCAGUUCAGAAACUAUUUAGUUUCUCUUAAUUUUUCAUGGCCCUAAUAUUUUCUUUUUGUUCGAGAACAAACAUCCCACUGUAUAUACAUGUAGGCUUAGUGUUUGAAAGCGUUUAUUACUUAAUUGAUUACUUUAGAUUUUUAAAAUGUUUAUGAAACUAGCAAAGCAAUUCUGAGAAGUGUUUCACAAAAAUACAAUUUCAAAAGUCAUGCCUUAGUAUUAGUGUGCACGCAAUAUUUAAUGUGCAGUCUUAUUGAUUCAUGUGCACCAGCAUGACUCCUUUGAACGUGAUCCAACCAGUAUUGUGACCUGUUAUUUUCCACAUGCAAGUGUAAAUUCAAAUGUGAAUUGAAUCACACUCACACUUAAAUCUUUGUGAAACACCUCUUUAGUUUGUUGUGUCAUGUUUCAGAUAGCUUGGACCUGCCUUGUAAUUUACUAUUGUCUGUAUUAUAACUAUACUUGAUUUGUAUUCAAACUUUUUUCUUCUUUCUUGAAUAAAAUGUAAGACCAGCAGCCGAGAAGAUUCAUUCAAGUUGGAGGACCAUGGCAGUUGACCUCAUUGAUUGCUGGGGUAGGCCCUAGACCUCACAAACAUGGCUUGCUGUCUGGUUUGAGCUGGGAUCUUCCUGCCAGAAUCACACAAUGAGUGAUGUCCCUACCAACAGAUCUGAUUUUCAGUGUGCAUAGAAGGGCAUUGGACACUGUUGGGCAUGGCAUACAACUUCCACAAUGUAAGUGCUUUAUUGAUGAUUUCAAUGAUAUCUUGCGUAGACUGGAGUAUGUGAGACAAUGCAAACGGUUGUCCAGCAAUUAUUAUGGUAUGCUAAUUGCAAUAACCAUUAUGGAAGUAUUUGGCUAAAAUAUCUGAAUUGCACCUUUUAAAUUCAUGACAUUUUCUUUACUAUGGAAUUAAAUUCUUUUCCAUUACUCCACCCUCCCCCCCUCAUGUUUCACUUUCCUCUUUGGUUUCACCUCUGAAAUACUAGCAUUAUCUGUUCAUCCAUUAAUUGCAGUCUCUCUUUUACCUCUGUGUACUAUCUGCUGUAGCUGUCACUCUGAAAUCAUCUUUUUCACACCCUCUCAACACGAUAUUCACCAUGACUGAUAUAACGUGCUAUAAAUACUUAAGCAAAUUCUUAACAAGGCAAUUUGUGAUUCUGUUAACAGAUUUCAAUUACAUUUUUGAAAUUAAAUGCAGAACCACAUGAAAAAAGUGGUACUAAAGAUUUUACAAUAUAAUUCACUUUUCUGUACAUGUUAAUUUUUUUGGACGGACUAAUUUGAAUAAAAUUUGUUGAUCCUCUCCCCGUUCGCUGUAAAACUCAUGUUUGUGCAAGCAUGUAUUCAUCACGUUAUCACACAAUGUGUAGAGAUAAUGGACUGCUGCUUGGAAUGAUGUGAUCUGUGACCCAAUAUCGGUUCGUCUGCCCAAAAUAUGUAUUCACUUAAAAUCAAAAGUAAAGUAUUGAGUUUUAACCAAUUGUUAUGUGGAUUGUGUGCUUCAAUGGUUUUCCACAAUGUGUAAUAAAAAAGGGGGACAAAAUGCUAAAUCAACCAUACCAAUACAUGUUAGUCUUGAAUCUAGCUUCAGGAGCGCAAUGUCAAAUUUUCAGUUGCUUUUCAAGGAAUUAUUUGUGAGUGUUGCUUAUUCAUUGUUUCAUAUUUCCCCUCAUCGAUAUUUGUUAUUGGCCUUUUGCUUGGAUGUCUAAUUUCAUAAAUGGAGCAGUGUAGCUGAGACGGCUUUGCGACUUGGAGGCAUUGAUCAAGACUGAUUAAGGACUGGUUGCACUUUGAAUAUACCCAGGCCUAAUUAACCACUUGCGUCUACACAAAGAAGGGCAGAAAUGAAAUGUUGAUGGCUGCUUGAAAAGAGCAUACCUGAAUUCUGGAAAUGUGUUUCAACUGCAUGUGAAAUAUUUGUAUCUGGUGUCUGGUAAUGUUUUGGAAAUCCCCAAGUACUGACUGAAGGAAUGGAGUUUUUCCAGCUCAUACUUCAUAUAUUCUCUAUUGGACGUUCAAAUGGUAAUUUGAUUGUUUUACUGAUUUCUGGUGCCGUUGCAGGUGGUGUAUGAAUAAUAAUUGAGAGACAUGAUGGUUCUCUGAUAUUUAUGGCUCAUGCUAUCUCAACUUUUGUCUUCUGGAAUUGACUUCUUUGGUAUUCAUCUUGGAGGAGUGUGUUGGCCGAUUUGUUGUGUCUUUAGAAAAAUUCUUGGUAAAUCUAGAUCUAGUUGAUCAUUUUUAGUCUCAUCCCCAACUUUGACCUCACAUUGAAACGAUCCAGUAUGACAUCUGUAUCCCUUCAUCUAAAAAUCUUUCAUUGGAACUUGCAUGUCUUUCACCUCAGGGAAGGUGGAGUUUCUUAACCAGGUCCUGGGGCUUGACUUGAGGUGGUGUUUGGCUAUUCUUUCAUAUUUUGAUAUGCGGAUAGGGCAGUGAUCUACCUGAUAGUCAACCUUCUGAAUUCUCCAAUAUAUGUUUUUUCCACUUGUUUUUCAAUCAUUGAAUCGCCUGAUACUUUUUCUCAGAACAUUUAAUGUCAUAUCCUGUGUCAACAAGAAUUCAGAUUUUUUCACUUGGUUAGAGUGGUUUCUUUACUGUGGAAGGCAUUGAUGUAACUUGGCAUGUCUUAUUUUGGUGAUCAAGGUGUCUUCAAAUUUACAUAAGUUCUCUACUCGGCUUAGAUCACUUAUUUCAUCCAAACUAGCACUGUUUUAUGGAGAAACCUAAACAAAUUGGUUCUAGUUAGGGAUUCAUCCACUGUGAAUUAAGGAUGGUGACAUUUCCUGUGAGAAGAAGCCAGAGUGGGAGGUUUCUCUGAUCGUCAACAGUAUUCUCACAUAGAUUGUGUUGCACGGUAUUCUAGCCUAAUGUUCUUUUUGUAGACGAGUGUAAUUGGAUGACCUCUCCUGGCAGAUUGUUCCAACUGUCUUUGUCCCUUUUGCAGAAGAAAUUGUUUGCUUACAUCCAUUCAGAACCAGUCUGGGAAAUUUUAUAGGGCACAGCUCUGAAAGUUGGUAUUGCUUUUAAUUGUCCGUUUGCCAAAGAAGUGGUUUCCUACAUCCCAGUGUGAAAGGAAUUUCAGACUUUUUAUCAUGUCAUUUCUGAAAUGUGACAUUGCUUUUUAUCGACCCUUUGGCUGAAGGAAUGAUUUACUACAUUGGAAAGAAUUUAGACAUUUGAUAAGGUGGCGUCUCUGAAAUUUGACAUUGUGCUUCACAACUAGAAUACAUGCAUUGUUGUGUUAUGAUUGAUAGGCCAUUAUUAAACCAUUGUGGGAUUAUGAAGUGCACAUCCUCUGGACGAGCCUAUGUUGAGGAUUUAACCCAUUAGGUCUAGAUUCACAAGCCAUGUCUUUCCAACUGCCUCUUGCCUUAUCUCUCAGAGUUAUGUGAAAGACGUGGUGAAUACUGUAUGCAAGCACAAACAUUAGGUGUCCCCUUGACAAAAAAACAAAAAAAAAAUAAAAAAAUAAAAUUGUUCUCCCUUUAGUUUUUUUUUUCCUUCACCAAAAUGCUGUGUUCAUUGAAGUUCAUAGGAACUCAAUUGCAUCAUGUACAGAAAAGUGUGUAUUUAUUUGUAAAUCUUCCAUUUGCUCAUUUGAAACCCCCCCC